UGGGGAGUAUUGCACAAUGGGGAAAGACCCUGAUGCAGCGACGCCGCGUGAGCGAUGAAGUAUUUCGGUAUGUAAAGCUCUAUCAGCAGGGAAGAAGAUGACGGUACCCGACUAAGAAGCCCGCUAACUACGUGCCAGCAGCCGCGGUAAUACGUAGGGGCAAGCGUUAUCCGGAUUUACUGGGUGUAAAGGGAGCGUAGACGGCGAUGCAAGCCUGGAGUGAAAGGCGGGGCUCAACCCCGCACGUUGGAUGCUGCAUGGCUGGAGUGUCGGAGAGGCAGGCGGAAUUCCUAGUGUAGCGGUGAAAUGCGUAGAUAUUAGGAGGAACACCAGUGGCGAAGGCGGCCUGCUGGACGAUGACUGACGUUGAGGCUCGAAAGCGUGGGGAGCAAACAGGAUUAGAUACCC
rnacentral:rRNA from 1 species